GGUAAAAGCGAUUGCUGAGAUAAGAUCCAAAGAAUUCCAGUGGCCGCAGGGGAGGGACACACGCUGCAACAAAGAAACACGCCAUUUACAUUCACAUGUACUCCUCGCUACUUCAUUUACUCAAAAAUAACAGACAGGAAGAUCAAGAGUGUGAUUUUCAACUCCGUUUGUACACGGAAGGUUUUUCCCCCUGUAAUUUUUGAACCGGAGCGGGAGAGACACUCGGCUUCCUGAACGCGUGGGUCUAACCUUUGAUUUUAUAUUGCUGGCACUAACACGAAGAACACCGUUGUCAUUUACGUAGGACAAGACACAAAACCACUGUAAUUUUUACAUUUAUACAGCGUAUGAAGUCUUCGGCUAAAGAAUUCAUUCAUCCAGAACCGGUGAGCUUUGAGAGGCGUCGCGUUGAGUUACGGCAGGUAGUGACAAGUUUGAUUUCGGACGUCUGAAGUCUCACAACCGCGGUUCUCAAUCUGAUGUCUACCGGGACCUUCAUAACACCGAGCUGCCGCAAUGUCGACCGGAGCAGGAAAGAGACUAGAAAACCGGGUGAGAAUUCUGGAGUCAAUCAUCAAGGACCAACGAUCACCUCUGAAUUUGGAGAGUUUGCUGGAUUCAGUAACUGCUCUGGCCCUUGAUCUGAAUCAUCCCGCACUGAGAAAGAACAAAAACAUAGAUUCCUUCUUAAACAGAUAUGAAAAGGCUGUGUGUCGCCUCAGGGAAGUACAGGUGAAGCUGGAUGAUUUUGACAGAGUCAAGCUGAUUGGUCGUGGAGCAUUUGGCGCAGUGCAGCUGGUACGACACAAAGCAUCCCGUCAAGUGUAUGCCAUGAAGCAGCUCAGCAAGUUUGAGAUGGUCAAGCGCUCUGACUCCGCCUUCUUCUGGGAGGAGCGUGACAUCAUGGCAUUCUCCAGGAGUCCUUGGAUAGUUCAGCUGUGCUGUGCAUUCCAGGAUGAGAAGUACCUUUAUUUGGUGAUGGAGUACAUGCCCGGUGGAGACUUGGUGACUCUGACCAGCAACUAUGACAUCCCGGAAGAGUGGGCUCGAUUCUACACUGCAGAAGUGGUGCUGGCACUGGACGCCAUCCAUUCUUUGGGCUUCAUCCACCGAGACAUCAAACCAGACAACAUGCUGCUCGACCGCAACGGACACCUUAAACUCGCAGACUUUGGAACAUGCAUGAAGAUGGAUUCGUCUGGUAUGGUCCGCUGUGACACUGCUGUUGGGACUCCUGAUUACAUUUCACCUGAGGUUUUGAUGUCACAAGGAGGGACAGGUUACUAUGGCCGGGAGUGUGACUGGUGGUCUGUUGGCGUUUUCAUUUAUGAGCUGCUAGUGGGUGACACACCGUUUUAUGCCGAGUCCCUGGUGGGCACCUACGGAAAGAUCAUGGAUCACAAAAACAGAUUAACUUUCCCAGAUGAUAUUGAAAUGUCAAAGGAGGCCAAAGACCUCAUCUGUGCAUUUCUGUCUGACAGGGAGGUGAGGCUUGGCCGGACUGGAGUGGAUGAAAUAAAAUGUCACCCCUUCUUCAAGAACGAUCAAUGGACCUUCGACACCAUACGAGACACCAUGGCUCCAGUGGUGCCGGAGCUGAGUAGCGAUAUUGACACCAGCAACUUUGAUGAUGAUAUAAAGGAUGAUCCAUUAGGAACGGAGACUUUCCCCCCUCCCCGUGCCUUUGCAGGGAAUCAGCUACCAUUUGUGGGGUUCACCUAUUUCAGGGAGGACCAAUUGUUAAAGCAAAACAAUAAGUGUUCAGAAGAGGACGUCGGUGCUGAUAGUGUCAAUGAGGAUCAUAAUUUAAAACAAGCAGAGUCCAGUGAGCUGCAAAAAAGGCUGAAAAAGUUAGAAGAAAAAGUCAAACAUGACAUUCAAGCAAAGGAAGAACUGGAAAAUAAGUGCAGAACAGCAAAUCAGCGGCUGGAGAAAUUGUCCAAAGAGCUUGAAGAAGAAGUGAAUGCGAGACAGGCGGCGGAAGAAUCUCUGAGGGAACUGGAGAAAGAGAAAGCUUUACUGAAGCACCAGCGUACUGCGAGCAUAAGAAAGGCUGGAUUAGAAACAGACAGAAAGCGUGUGCUUGAGAAUGAAGUGAGCAGCCUGAAAGAGCAGCUAGCCGAACUCAAGAAGAAGAACCAGAACUCUCUUAUCUCCGCAGAGAAGAACAUUUACCUGGAAAGACAGUUGGAGGAGCUGAAUGCUAAGCUCCAAACUGAGGCGGAGGAGUCUGAGCGGCUGAAGAAGGCCCAGGGCGAGGCGUUGAAACAGUCCCAGCAGCUGGAGGUCUCUCUCAGAGAGCUUCAGGAGCGUCUGGCCCAGCUGGAGAGCAGCCGUCUGAGUUUGGAGCAGGAGAAACUGAGCCUGCAAACUUCACUGGAGCUGGAGAAGCGAGAGAGAAGCCUCGGCACAGAGAACAUCAAUGACCUACAAGGUCGUGUCUCUGGACUGGAAGACGAGUUAAAGCUCAUAAAGGCUUCUCUUUCAAAGGCUGAAGCAGAGAAAAGACAGUUACAGGAGGAUCUUACUACCUUGGAAAAGGAGAAGAGCAAGCAGGAAAUCGAUCUCACCUUUAAACUCAAAGCCAUUCAGCAGAGUCUGGAGCAGGAGGAGGCAGAGCAUAAAGCCACUAAAUCCAGAUUGGCUGACAACAACGAAAUCAACCAAUCCAUAGAGGAGGCCAAGUCUGAGGCCCUGAAAGAUAUGGAACAUAAGCUGCUGGAAGAACGAUCUGCGAAGCAACAGUUGGAAAACAGACUGAUGCAGCUGGAAAAGGAAAACUCAGUAUUAGACUACGACUACAAACAAGCCAAACAUGAGCUUCAGGAGCUCCGCUCGCUCAAAGAAAAACUAACCGAGGAGGUGGAGGUGCUGAAUAUACGUGUGCAGCAGGAGACUCAGAAGAAGACUCUGUUUCAGGCAGAUCUCAAUGUACAGAGGCAGGAAAUCAGCACCUUGCGCUCCUCAGAGAAACAGCUUAAACAAGAGCUCAACCAUCAGCUGGAGCUCAAACUCAGCCUGGAGAAACAAAAUCAGGAACUUCGCAGGGAGAGAGAAGAAGCUAACAAUCAGCUGAAAGAGCUGAAGGACCAGUUGGAGUCAGAGCAGUACUUCACAAAACUGUAUAAGACUCAGAUUCGAGAGCUGAAAGAGGGCAGUGAUGAAAAGGCUAAACUCUACAAAGAUGCUCAGCAGAGAAUAGAGGACCUGCUGGAAGAGAGGGACUCGUUGGCAUCCCAGCUAGAGGCGAGUCUGACAAAGGCAGACUCUGAACAGUUGGCGCGCUCCAUCGCUGAGGAGCAAUACUCAGACCUGGAGAAAGAAAAGAUCAUGAAAGAGUUGGAGAUCAAAGACAUGAUCGCAAGACACCGGCAGGAACUCAGCGAAAAGGACAAUACCAUCAGCUCGCUGGAGGAAUCGAACCGCACACUGACUGUGGAUGUUGGCAACCUGGCUAAUGAGAAAGAAGAGCUCAACAACAAGCUCAAACACCUACAGCAUAAGCUGGAGAAGGCCAAAGAAGAAGAAAAAGAGAGGAAAUCUGUGUACCUGUCCAUCGAGAGGCAGAUACAGUCUGAGCGAACCCUCAAGAUUCAGGCUAUAAACAAGCUGGCUGAGGUUAUGAAGAAGACUGAUGUCAGACCCCAGCAAGGCAACAACACUGACAUCCGCAGAAAGGAGAAGGAGAACAGACAACUGCAGUCGCAGCUCCGCACAGAGAAAGAAAAACUCAACAACACCAUCAUUAAAUACCAGAAAGAAAUCAAUGAAAUGCAGGCUACGUUAGCAGAGGAGUCUCAGGUGCGACUGGAGAUGCAGAUGGCCCUGGACAGUAAAGACAGUGAUAUUGAGCGUCUGCGCUGUCAGCUCACUAGUCUCAGCAUCCAUUCUCUGGACACCACCAGCAUCAGCAGCACCGGCAACGACCUGGAGGGUGAUGACGCAUAUCCAGUGCGCAUCACACACUCACACACUUCGGAGUCUAUGUCCUUCACAUACCAACGAAGCUCCAAGUCAGUGUGUAUUGAUACCCGGCCAUGCCGGAUCGCUCCUCGGUUCCCCUCCGACUCAGAGGAAGAGGAGGAUGAGGAUGAGGAAAUUGAGUGGCGGCAAAGGCCCGCCCUCACAUAUGAGAAGCCUACUGACCAAGAGUCUGCAGAUUCUAGUCUUGAAGGAUGGCUCUCAAUGCCUACCAAAAACACCAAACGGUUUGGAUGGGAAAAGAAGUAUGUGGUGGUAAGCAGCAAGAAGAUCCUGUUUUAUGAGUCAGAGCAAGACAGAGAGCAGUCCAGCCCCUUCAUGAUUCUGGACAUAGACAAACUGUUCCAUGUGAGACCUGUCACUCAAACAGAUGUGUACCGUGCAGAUCCCAGAGAAAUCCCACGCAUCUUCCAGAUAUUAUAUGCUAAUGAGGGCGAGAGCAAGAAAGAGGAGCUUGCUGUGGAAUCCUUAUCAGCAGCCGAAAGGUCGUCGUUUAUCCCACACAAAGGUCACGAGUUCGUGCUCACGCUCUACCACUUCCCCUCUAGUUGUGAAGCAUGUCCAAGGCCUCUGUGGCACGUCUUCAAGCCCCCACCAGCCCUGGAGUGCAGACGCUGCCGAAUCAAAUGCCAUAAAGACCACAUAGAUCGCAAAGAAGAAGUCCUAGCUCCUUGCAGAGUGAACUAUGAUAUGUCCACGGCGAAAGAGCUACUGCUGCUGGCCAACUCCACAGAAGAUCAGCAGAAAUGGGUCAGCCGCCUACUCAAAAAGGUCCCACGUAAACCUAUAGCCCACUCCUCAAGCAUAGCUAUAGGUUCUCCCCCCUCCGAGACAUCUUCACCCACUGGCCGGUCUCCUCAGCCCUCUCCUCACCUGUCCGCCCAUUCAUCUCCCAGACUUUCACACAGAGGAGCCGUCAAAGUGCAUUCUACCCGACAGCCUCCCUCACCCAAGACCAGCCCUGGCCCCAUGAUCCGUAUCAUUCUUCACUGACCUGUUCACCUUUGACCUUUCACCUUCCCCACUUGUGCUUAUGUAUGGAGACUAACCUUGGUGAAGGUUGGAUAGGUGAUAAUCCAUCCGGGAAUUAUGAAAGCGGAGAAUGUCAUAGUGUUCAUUUUGGCAAAUGGCAGGACUUCCAAGUGCCAAACUCCACAAGUGUAAAUGACUGGGGAAGAGUGAGGGGGGUGUAAUAUUUAAUACGGAUCAAGCCAUAAAUCACCUAAAGGGUGUAGUUUCAAUUUUAAGUCAUUUUAAGAGUGUUUCAUGUCUUUGUAGACACUACAGUUCUUCAAAAACAUUUUUAAGUUAAAGAAUGUUAAACUUUAGAGGUUAUUUUUGGUCUGUGUCAGAGUGUGUGUUUGAAACAGAAUAUAUACUUUGGCUCUGCAACUACAUGAUCAUCUGAAUUUAUAUACACAAGUAUUAUAUCUAUUUUUGUUAGGAAAAACAGAUUAAUAUUUAGUGACAGAUUAUAUUUUUAUCAUGCAUUAUAUCAAAGAACACUUUUGAAAAAUGCUUUUACUUAGUUGUUUGCCAGAACUGUCUGCUCAAAAUAUAUGCAUUAUUAAAGACUGAUAUAACAUGAUGCAAUGAUGCAAUCUAUAGCACAUUUUAGCAUUUUAUUAAUUGCUGUGACAAAAAUUAGACACAAUCUGUAUGCAAAGUGGAACAUGAAGACCUCCGGUCCAAACAUUUUCUGUAUUGUAUCAAUUUGCCAUGUUGCCACUGACAAACCGUUGAAACAUUGUGAAAUUAAUAAAAAAGCUUUAUUUAAU